rnacentral:rRNA from 1 species
CUGCGAAUGGCUCAUUAAAUCAGUUAUCGUUUAUUUGAUAGUACCUUACUACUUGGAUAACCGUGGUAAUUCUAGAGCUAAUACAUGCUAAAAAUCCCGACCUCUGGAAGGGAUGUAUUUAUUAGAUAAAAAACCAAUGCCUUCGGGCUUCUUGGUGAUUCAUGAUAACUUUACGAAUCGCAUGGCCUUGAGCUGGCGAUGGUUCAUUCAAAUUUCUGCCCUAUCAACUUUCGAUGGUAGGAUAGUGGCCUACCAUGGUUUCAACGGGUAACGGGGAAUUAGGGUUCGAUUCCGGAGAGGGAGCCUGAGAAACGGCUACCACAUCCAAGGAAGGCAGCAGGCGCGCAAAUUACCCAAUCCCGACACGGGGAGGUAGUGACAAUAAAUACUGAUACAGGGCCCUUUUGGGUCUUGUAAUUGGAAUGAGUACAAUUUAAACCCUUUAACGAGGAACAAUUGGAGGGCAAGUCUGGUGCCAGCAGCCGCGGUAAUUCCAGCUCCAAUAGCGUAUAUUAAAGUUGUUGCAGUUAAAAAGCUCGUAGUUGAACUUUGGGUCUGGGUGACUGGUCUGCGUCUACCGCAUGUACUGGAAACCCGGAUCUUUCCUUCUGGAGAACCGCAUGCACUUUACUGGGUGUGCCGGGGAACCAGGACUUUUACUUUGAAAAAAUUAGAGUGUUCAAAGCAGGCAUUUGCUCGAAUACAUUAGCAUGGAAUAAUAAAAUAGGACGUGCGGUUCUAUUUUGUUGGUUUCUAGGACCGCCGUAAUGAUUAAUAGGGAUAGUCGGGGGCAUCCGUAUUCGAUUGUCAGAGGUGAAAUUCUUGGAUUUUUCGAAGACGAACUACUGCGAAAGCAUUUGCCAAGGAUGUUUUCAUUAAUCAGGAACGAAAGUUGAGGGAUCGAAGACGAUCAGAUACCGUCGUAGUCUCAACCAUAAACUAUGCCGACUAGGGAUUGGGCGACUGUGUUUUUUGAGUUGCUCAGCACCUUACGAGAAAUUAAAGUUUUUGGGUUCUGGGGGGAGUAUGGUCGCAAGGCUGAAACUUAAAGGAAUUGACGGAAGGGCACCACCAGGAGUGGAGCCUGCGGCUUAAUUUGACUCAACACGGGGAAACUCACCAGGUCCAGACACAUUAAGGAUUGACAGAUUGAGAGCUCUUUCUUGAUCAUGUGGGUGGUGGUGCAUGGCCGUUCUUAGUUGGUGGAGUGAUUUGUCUGCUUAAUUGCGAUAACGAACGAGACCUUAACCUGCUAAAUAGCUGGGCUCGCUUUCGCGGGUUCUUGGCUUCUUAGA